rnacentral:rRNA from 1 species
AGCGAACGCUGGCGGCAGGCCUAACACAUGCAAGUCGAACGAACCUUUCGGGGUUAGUGGCGGAUGGGUGAGUAACACGUGGGAACGUGCCUUUAGGUUCGGAAUAACUCAGGGAAACUUGUGCUAAUACCGAAUGUGCCCUUCGGGGGAAAGAUUUGUAGCCUUUAGAGCGUCCCGCGUCUGAUUAGCUAGUUGGUUGAGUUAAUGGUUCACCAAGGCGACGAUCAGUAGCUGGUCUGAGAGGAAGAUCCGCCACAUUGGGGCUGAGACGCAGCCCGAAAUCCUACGGGAGGCAGCAGUGGGGAAUCUUGCACAAUGGGCGAAAGCCUGACGCAGCCAUGCCGGGUGAAUGAUGAAGGUCUUAGGGUUGUAAAAUUCUUUCAACGGGGACGAUAAUGACGGUACCCGGAGAAAAAGCCCCGGCUAACUACGUG